rnacentral:ncRNA from 1 species
UUCAUAGUGAUGCGGACAGGUGUGAAGAAGCUGGCUUCUUCACUUAAAAGGGAAGUUCGGUGAAAUGCCGACGCGGUCCCGCCACUGUAUAUGCGAGCAACCUGCUUGAAGCCACUGUUAUGAGAUGGGAAGGCGCAGGAAGCGAUGACCAUAAGCCAGGAGACCUGCCUGAACCGUAAAUUACCG